CCUACGGGAGGCAGCAGUGGGGGAUAUUGCACAAUGGGGGAAACCCUGAUGCAGCGACGCCGCGUGAGUGAAGAAGUAUUUCGGUAUGUAAAGCACUAUCAGCAGGGAAGAAAAUGACAGUACCUGACCAAUAAGCCACGGCUAACUACGUGCCAGCAGCCGCGGUAAUACGGAGGGGGCAAGCGUUAGCUGGAUUUACUGGGUGUAAAGGUAGCGUAGACGGUUAUGUAAGUCUGGUGUGAAAGCCCGGGGCCCAACCCCGGGUCUGAUUUGGAAACUGUGUAACUUGAGUACAGGAGGGGCAGGUAGAAUUCCAGGUGUAGCGGUGAAAUGCGUAGAGAUCAGGAGGAACACCGGCGGCGAAGGCGGCCCGCUGGACUGAAACUGACGUUGAGGCUCGAAAGCGUGGGGAGCAAACAGGAUUAGAUACCCGAGUAGUC
rnacentral:rRNA from 1 species